rnacentral:lncRNA from 1 species
GGGGUCUCUAUACAUAUAUUAUGUCAACUUCCGGGUUCAAGUCUCUGUCAUGCCAUUUGGGAGUAGAAAAGAACGCUACCAAGAUAAUGAUACAUAAGAAAAAAAGCGACAUGACUCACUAGAAGACGAUUUUUACACACACACACGAAACUUGUACAAUGACAAAAGAUUUAUCUAUUAAAUAUUAACUUUUUAUUGACCUUUCUUUUGACUAGCAAACAAAAAUUAAGGCUAUUUAAAAGAGAUGUUGUAUGUCCCGAAUAAAACGCAAAAUCCAUGACCGAUCAUGGUAACAGUCACGAAAGCAGACGGAAUGUAGGAUGAAAAACUUCAAUCAAAUAGUUUGGGUGGGAGAGGGGGAGGGGUGUAAAAUUGCUGCGAAUUUUGUUUAUCCAAAAUCGAUUUUACAUAUGUCCAUAUUUUACAAUCAAUUUUUCCCAAAUUAAGUUAAGAAAAAGUGGGGGUGUCAGUGAAAAAACUAUGUGCAUUAAGUUUUUUUUUAUGUCGUCCUUUACUUCUUGGCUUUGUGGAAGCGUUGACAAUGUGUACUAUACGCUGUCAUCAUUGCAGAAAUUAAAACACUAUGUUUUUCCGUUGGUGCCCCCCUUUUUUUGUGGGGAAAAUUUGGUUGAUUAUAUAGGUAAUCACUGAAGCAUGACUGGAGCGCACCCUUUUAAGUUCAGUCAGUGCCCCCCUUAAAUGAAAAGUUCUGGAUCCGCCACUGCUGCUGUCGUAAAUGAUGGUAGCGAGGAUUAACUGUCGCUAAUGCUUUACCAACUCUAGCCUCAGACUCGUUGAUUCCUUUGCUUGAUAAAUGGCCUGUCAUCAUUUUACGACCGCGUAUGUGGGUCCAACUUGAAAAUAACACACACUAUGCGCACAUCAUGUUUUAAAUGUAACUACUA